GUGCUUACUUCAGCUGCAUGGAUACUAAAAUUGGAACACAACUGAGAAGAUUAGCAUGGCCCUUCCACAAAAAUGACACCCAAACUCAUGAAGCGUUCAGUAUUAAA